rnacentral:lncRNA from 1 species
UUAUCAUGGCGAUACCCUUGGUUAUCGCGGUAGUGUCCCUUACUCUUUUUACUAAAAUGAGACUGGUGAGGAUGUAAAUCUUUCCUUUUACCCUGAGAUUGAUAUGUCUGUUGACUUGGCAAAGUAUUAAGUAAGGCAGGGGGAGGCAUCGCUGCCAUUUGGAAGGUCAAGGUCUUCUCAUUUUGUUGGAUCUGGCUUUCACUCCCUACUUGCUGAUAAGGGGUGGUUGUGGGGGGUUUCCCUUGAUAUGUCAUUGCCUUGGCGGAGGCAUGGUUGUAAGCCUGUGCCAUCACCUCAGAGUAAGUCUUCCAAGUGUUGGCAUUGAUCAUGUACUCGAAGAAACAAUCACGUAG